UUGAGAACAAAAGAGAUAAAAUCCUGCUUUCAGACUGAAAAUGUAUGCUCUUGGAUAAUGGCAGAAAAAUUCCACCAUACCACCAUCAGAGUCAAGAAGCAAGUCUCCCUUCACUCACACCUGCAAUCAAUUUACUCAUCAGCCCAGGUCUGUUCAGAUUUCUCCUUCCUAAUAUUUAAACCACUCUCUUUCAGUCAGUAGUUGCCAGUUCAUCUUGUUACUUUCCUCUCUUCUUCUUGGGUUCCCAGUUUGGCCUUGUUUUGGAUUUUUCUGUUGGACUUUCUAUUUUUGUAAGUUUUUUUUUUUUUUUUUUUUCAUUAAAUAUCCACAACUGAUCUAUGUCUCUCACGUGCUGCAUUUGGGUCUGGAUUUAA